GGUUAAGCGACUAAGCGUACACGGUGGAUGCCCUGGCAGUCAGAGGCGAUGAAGGACGUGCUAAUCUGCGAUAAGCGUCGGUGAGGUGAUAUGAACCGUUAUAACCGGCGAUUUCCGAAUGGGGAAACCCAGUGUGUUUCGACACACUAUCAUUAACUGAAUCCAUAGGUUAAUGAGGCGAACCGGGGGAACUGAAACAUCUAAGUACCCCGAGGAAAAGAAAUCAACCGAGAUUCCCCCAGUAGCGGCGAGCGAACGGGGAGGAGCCCAGAGCCUGAAUCAGUGUGUGUGUUAGUGGAAGCGUCUGGAAAGGCGCGCGAUACAGGGUGACAGCCCCGUACACAAAAAUGCACAUAUUGUG
rnacentral:rRNA from 1 species